UUGUGACUCUUCCUCAUCUACACGCAGUCCAUGUCGUUAUCAAUGUUAUGAGACUUGAUCCGACAAGUAUAAGCGCCAGCGCUGCGGCGACACGGGCUGCUCUGGUCGGCAGCGCAAGCAAAGUACUGCAGGUGGCGGGGCCAGGCGCGCUGGUGACGUUCCGUUCGUUUUGAGCCGUUAUCGCUCUUUAGCCCUCCUCAUCCGCGACGAACCAUUAUCAACCGUUCUCCGGCGGCGGCUGCUUGUGGCACGGCCGCGCGAACCGUAUCUUGAAAGCGAACUGCAUUGUGGACAGAGUGUGCCCACUGCUGAAAACUUCACGCGCUGUGUUCUCACCGUUUACUUCGCUUUGAAAACAGACGCGCGCACACCUAUCUUGAAAGUGAUCUGCGAAAAGCGCAUAGUGCGGCAUAAGCUGAAAGCUUCGUGAGCGCAGUGUUCUCGCCGCUUCGGUCGCGUUGAAGCCUUGAAGCGAGAGCUAGCACGAAGGUGAAUUCACUCGCUGCUGCGGGUUCUAUAUUGAAAGAUAUCGUGCGGUACGGACUGACGGACGGAUGGUUUUUCUUGUUGGGGAAGUAUAGAAAUGCUUACGUUAUAAAAAAAAAUCGCAGGGUUCGCGAAUUUCGCGAUAAGAACCAACACCAACCUACUCCCCCACCCCCCGCUGAGCGAUGCCGUCUUGAUCGCCCCCUCCCAACCCCAGGAAAAGGGACACUACCUUUCUAUCUCAGUUGAAGAAAGGAUGAUGAAGCGUUAACAACGACAAUAACGGCAUUUUCUAACGAGUUGUCUUAUGGCCUCUGAGAUUUGCGCGCGAAGCUGGCGCGCGCGAACCUGAGAGGCCAUAAUUGGCCGCUUAAUAGCAUAAAAAGACAAAGAUAAUGCCAAACGACACAACUAAAAAUUCAAACAAAGAACUGAUCUUAGCUAUACUGUUUGGGGAAAAGAAAUAAAAAAUUAGACAGCCGCAACACACGCCACUAAAGCCACCACCGCCGGCAUAACGCGGAACCAACUGUUGGCAACAUUCAUUCGCGCGUCAUUGCUUCGUCCGCGUCGUCUCCGCAACGAGAGCCGCCAUCUUCUCGCGCCUAACGUUUUGUAUGGUUUUGUUCUCUGCAAUCCGCGCACACAGCUCAUCGGUGGCUGCACGUCUGCUCGGCGUCGCAAUGCGGCCUGCGUCAUUUUCUGGUGCUCGCGCAAUCGGUGUGAAACAUGUCGCAUGUGAAAUGUUUGAUAGAAGUGCCUCACGUCCAAGUCAAGCCGCCGUACGGGUGUAUGGCUGUGCGCCCCGUUCUCGGAAGCGUCGACGGGUUUCCGGCAUGCGGAUUUCAGCGUUUGGACUCUACUUUUGGUGAGGAGGUUGAUCGACCUUGGGCCUGGCGACAGCACACCCGACAUCGCCAAAGUGCAGCCUAUCAGUUGAGUGCCCCCGAAUGGACCAUCAACAUUGGAAAAUGAAGCAAAGCCAGGGGGAAAAGGUUCCGGUAACACUGCAUUCAGUAUGGUGGCCCAGACGUGUAUGCAAGCAACCUCCUUCAUGUGGACCAAGAACUACUCUGCAGUGUCUCACAGACUUCCAUGCGAAGCCCUCAACAUUCUCGUCUCAGUGGAAUGGCUGCUCAUCUAUCUGCGUGUCCAUCACCAAGAUGGCCAGUUGUAAAGCUCCUGUACCCGUUUAAGACAGCUUAAUGAUUUUUUUUAUUUAGUUUUCAUGGUUGGCCGUAGAAUCUUAACAUUUUUGAUGUUUCUAACGUUUUUACCUGGCCCAAAGUGGUGCAAUAACUUUAAACCAGUGUAAUGUAUUUAAGUGAUGCUCACUCUAAUGCCUAUCUGGUUUUGUUUGUGUUUAAGAAAUUUGAAUGUCUGAUGAGGUAACAGCAUUUAAACUUGUCAUCGUGGCUCUUUUCAGUGAGCUGCUAGGAAAUAAGAUGCAAAACUUAUCACACGCCAGUUGUAGCAUUUUUGUUUUCAAGACUAAAGUAUACAUGUUUCAAAAGAUGGAAAGUGGGGAAAAAAGCCUCAAGAACAUAAUCAUCCUAGGAUUGUCAUGUCCUUACAACUCUGCAAUGACUAAUGCCUCAUACAUCUUGGGAGCACAUUGGUCGCAAUGCCUACAGGUAUACUUGAUAAGAGAAUAGCUUGCACUCAGAUUUGCCACGCAGUUGAUGGCUGAUAGCUUUUGUUUGUCGUCUUCAUGUUACUACUAUGUAUUCAAUAUUCAUUUACAUGUGCUGCGGUUUUUUGCAGUCACACACACACAC